GACGAACGCUGGCGGCGUGCUUAACACAUGCAAGUCGAACGGAAAGGCCCUGCUUUUGUGGGGUGCUCGAGUGGCGAACGGGUGAGUAACACGUGAGUAACCUGCCCUUGACUUUGGGAUAACUUCAGGAAACUGGGGCUAAUACCGGAUAGGAGCUCCUGCUGCAUGGUGGGGGUUGGAAAGUUUCGGCGGUUGGGGAUGGACUCGCGGCUUAUCAGCUUGUUGGUGGGGUAGUGGCUUACCAAGGCUUUGACGGGUAGCCGGCCUGAGAGGGUGACCGGCCACAUUGGGACUGAGAUGCGGCCCAGACUCCUACGGGAGGCAGCAGUGGGGAAUAUUGCACAAUGGGCGGAAGCCUGAUGCAGCACCGCCGCGUGCGGUAUGACGGCCUUCGGGUUGUAAUCCGCUUUCGCCUGUGACGAAGCGUGAGUGACGGUAAUGGGUAAAGAAGCACCGGCUAACUACGUG
rnacentral:rRNA from 1 species